CAAAAGUUUGGGCACCCUACAUGGUCUCCCCUCAGCCUCCUCCGCUCCGGAGAAAACAAUCCAAGUUUGUUCAAACUCUAACCUUGUCCAACCUUGCUGUUCAAUGAGCUGGCGUGGUCCAGAGGCUUUGAUAACGACAUCCUGGAACCAAGUCGGGCAGAAUGCUGAUUAUGACAUGUUACAAAGGAGAAGCUGAAAUAUCCAAGGAGCCACGUUAGUGGAACAAGCAACAUUUGUGAGAUCUCGUGAAAGGUGGAACCUAGUCUGUGACAAAGAAGGAUAAGCAUUAGCUCGAUCUGCAGGACCAGGCAUAAGAUGGCUCCAGAAAUUGGUAGUUAAUUGCUUUUUCUCGUUAUUUUUAAAUAUGGGGUGUAAGUUCUGUGUAGUUGUUAAUAUGUUUAUGUAAUUUAUGUUCGUAGGCAUGGUAGUGUAGCGGUUAGCGUAACGCUAUUACAGCGCCAGCGACCUAGGUUCAAUUCCCGCCGCUGUCUGUAAGGCGUUCAUAUGUUCUCCCCGUGUCUGCAUGGGUUUCCUCCGGGUGCUCCGGUUUCCUCCCACAUUCCAAAGACGUACGGGUUAGGAAGUUGUGGGCAUACUACAUUGGCGCCGGAAGUGUGGCGACACUUGCGGGCUGCCCCCAGAACACUCUACGCAAAAGAUGCAUUUCACUGUGUGUUUCGAUGUACAUGUGACUAAUAAAGAUAUCGCAUCUUAUCCUCGCCUAACAAUAUACUGUGCUGCUGCUGGAAAAAGCUCACUGUCAUGGCAUUUAUGGCUAUGACAACAAUAAACUUGAACUUGGGUUAGAAAGAAGAUGACAAGAAGGGAAAGAGCCUGCAAUAGGGCACAAAAGGAAGAGACAGUACCACUGUCAUAUUGGAUGGUGAAGUCUCUAAUGCAU